GGCAGCCUACGGGACGCAGCAGUGGGGAAUAUUGGGCAAUGGGCGCAAGCCUGACCCAGCAACGCCGCGUGAAGGAAGAAGGCUUUCGGGUUGUAAACUUCUUUUCUCAGGGACGAAGCAAGUGACGGUACCUGAGGAAUAAGCCACGGCUAACUACGUGCCAGCAGCCGCGGUAAUACGUAGGUGGCAAGCGUUAUCCGGAUUUGCUGGGUGUAAAGGGCGUGUAGGCGGGAAAGCAAGUCAGAUGUGAAAACCAUGG
rnacentral:rRNA from 1 species